CCGGCGAUGUCCGAAUGGGGAAACCCAGUGUGAUUCGUCACACUAUCGUUAACUGAAUACAUAGGUUAACGAGGCGAACCGGGGGAACUGAAACAUCUAAGUACCCCGAGGAAAAGAAAUCAACCGAGAUUCCCCCAGUAGCGGCGAGCGAACGGGGAGCAGCCCAGAGUCUGAAUCAGCUUGUGUGUUAGUGGAACGGUCUGGAAAGUCCGACGGUACAGGGUGAUAGUCCCGUACACCAAAAUGCACAGGCUGUGAACUCGAAGAGUAGGGCGGGACACGUGGUAUCCUGUCUGAAUAUGGGGGGACCAUCCUCCAAGGCUAAAUACUCCUGACUGACCGAUAGUGAACCAGUACCGUGAGGGAAAGGCGAAAAGAACCCCGGCGAGGGGAGUGAAAAAGAACCUGAAACCGUGUACGUACAAGCAGUGGGAGCACCUUCGGGUGUGACUGCGUACCUUUUGUAUAAUGGGUCAGCGACUUAUAUUCUGUAGCAAGGUUAACCGUAUAGGGGAGCCGCAGGGAAACCGAGUCUUAACUGGGCGUUAAGUUGCAGGGUAUAGACCCGAAACCCGGUGAUCUAGCCAUGGGCAGGUUGAAGGUUGGGUAACACUAACUGGAGGACCGAACCGACUAAUGUUGAAAAAUUAGCGGAUGACUUGUGGCUGGGGGUGAAAGGCCAAUCAAACCGGGAGAUAGCUGGUUCUCCCCGAAAGCUAUUUAGGUAGCGCCUCGUGAAUUCAUCUUCGGGGGUAGAGCACUGUUUCGGCUAGGGGGUCAUCCCGACUUACCAACCCGAUGCAAACUACGAAUACCGAAGAAUGUUAUCACGGGAGACACACGGCGGGUGCUAACGUCCGUCGUGAAGAGGGAAACAACCCAGACCGCCAGCUAAGGUCCCAAAGUCAUGGUUAAGUGGGAAACGAUGUGGGAAGGCACAGACAGCCAGGAUGUUGGCUUAGAAGCAGCCAUCAUUUAAAGAAAGCGUAAUAGCUCACUGGUCGAGUCGGCCUGCGCGGAAGAUGUAACGGGGCUAAACCAUGCACCGAAGCUGCGGCAGCGACACUAUGUGUUGUUGGGUAGGGGAGCGUUCUGUAAGCCUGCGAAGGUGACCUGUGAGGGUUGCUGGAGGUAUCAGAAGUGCGAAUGCUGACAUAAGUAACGAUAAAGCGGGUGAAAAGCCCGCUCGCCGGAAGACCAAGGGUUCCUGUCCAACGUUAAUCGGGGCAGGGUGAGUCGACCCCUAAGGCGAGGCCGAAAGGCGUAGUCGAUGGGAAACAGGUUAAUAUUCCUGUACUUGGUGUUACUGCGAAGGGGGGACGGAGAAGGCUAUGUUAGCCGGGCGACGGUUGUCCCGGUUUAAGCAUGUAGGCUGGUUGUCCAGGCAAAUCCGGAUAAUCAAGGCUGAGGUGUGAUGACGAGGCACUACGGUGCUGAAGUAACAAAUGCCCUGCUUCCAGGAAAAGCCUCUAAGCAUCAGGUAACAUCAAAUCGUACCCCAAACCGACACAGGUGGUCAGGUAGAGAAUACCAAGGCGCUUGAGAGAACUCGGGUGAAGGAACUAGGCAAAAUGGUGCCGUAACUUCGGGAGAAGGCACGCUGGUGUGUAGGUGAAGUCCCUGCGGAUGGAGCUGAGACCAGUCGAAGAUACCAGCUGGCUGCAACUGUUUAUUAAAAACACAGCACUGUGCAAACACGAAAGUGGACGUAUACGGUGUGACGCCUGCCCGGUGCCGGAAGGUUAAUUGAUGGGGUUAUCCGUAAGGAGAAGCUCUUGAUCGAAGCCCCGGUAAACGGCGGCCGUAACUAUAACGGUCCUAAGGUAGCGAAAUUCCUUGUCGGGUAAGUUCCGACCUGCACGAAUGGCGUAAUGAUGGCCAGGCUGUCUCCACCCGAGACUCAGUGAAAUUGAACUCGCUGUGAAGAUGCAGUGUACCCGCGGCAAGACGGAAAGACCCCGUGAACCUUUACUAUAGCUUGACACUGAACAUUGAGCCUUGAUGUGUAGGAUAGGUGGGAGGCUUUGAAGCGUGGACGCCAGUCUGCGUGGAGCCAACCUUGAAAUACCACCCUUUAAUGUUUGAUGUUCUAACGUUGGCCCCUUACCGGGGUUGCGGACAGUGUCUGGUGGGUAGUUUGACUGGGGCGGUCUCCUCCCAAAGCGUAACGGAGGAGCACGAAGGUUAGCUAAUCCUGGUCGGACAUCAGGAGGUUAGUGCAAUGGCAUAAGCUAGCUUGACUGCGAGCGUGACGGCGCGAGCAGGUGCGAAAGCAGGUCAUAGUGAUCCGGUGGUUCUGAAUGGAAGGGCCAUCGCUCAACGGAUAAAAGGUACUCCGGGGAUAACAGGCUGAUACCGCCCAAGAGUUCAUAUCGACGGCGGUGUUUGGCACCUCGAUGUCGGCUCAUCACAUCCUGGGGCUGAAGUAGGUCCCAAGGGUAUGGCUGUUCGCCAUUUAAAGUGGUACGCGAGCUGGGUUUAGAACGUCGUGAGACAGUUCGGUCCCUAUCUGCCGUGGGCGCUGGAGAAUUGAGGGGGGCUGCUCCUAGUACGAGAGGACCGGAGUGGACGCAUCACUGGUGUUCGGGUUGUCAUGCCAAUGGCACUGCCCGGUAGCUAAAUGCGGAAGAGAUAAGUGCUGAAAGCAUCUAAGCACGAAACUUGCCCCGAGAUGAGUUCUCCCUGAGACUUUAAGUCUCCUGAAGGAACGUU
rnacentral:rRNA from 1 species